UAACACAUUCUACAGUAGGAUCAUUUCUAUAGUAAUCGUCACUCUUUGACUCUUCAAAAGAGCCACUGAAUCCAACUUGGUUGAUGAGGCGCAGAACCUUCCUAUCCUAGAGUGAGAAACCAAAUUUUUACCGAUUUAAAACCUUAGCUUGAUCCGCAAUCCUUAGCGGUUCGGUCAUCUAAAUUUAAGUCACCUUCAAAUUUGCUUUUGCCGAUUGCAACGGGUCAGAGUUCAGAGUCUAGGAGUUUUGAGCCCUCGGGCGAAGAAAAACCUUUUCUCCCUCUUUCCCAUUUUAAUUAAUUGGCGCGAUGAUCUUUACCCUUUCCAUGUACUCCUUUUGGGAGGGAUGCGAUACUGGGUGGAUGGGAAUGGCAGUCUGACAAGU
rnacentral:snoRNA from 1 species